CCUACGGGUGCAGCAGUGGGGAAUAUUGGACAAUGGGCGAAAGCCUGAUCCAGCCAUGCCGCGUGUGUGAAGAAGGCCUUCGGGUUGUAAAGCACUUUCAGUUGGGAAGAAAGCCUUGGGGCUAAUACCCUCGAGGAAGGACAUCACCCACAGAAGAAGCACCGGCUAACUCCGUGCCAGCAGCCGCGGUAAUACGGAGGGUGCGAGCGUUAAUCGGAAUUACUGGGCGUAAAGCGCGCGUAGGCGGUCUGAUAAGCCGGUUGUGAAAGCCCCGGGCUCAACCUGGGAACGGCAUCCGGAACUGUCAGGCUAGAGUGCAGGAGAGGAAGGUAGAAUUCCCGGUGUAGCGGUGAAAUGCGUAGAGAUCGGGAGGAAUACCAGUGGCGAAGGCGGCCUUCUGGACUGACACUGACGCUGAGGUGCGAAAGCGUGGGUAGCAAACAGGAUUAGAUACCCGAGUAGUC
rnacentral:rRNA from 1 species